rnacentral:rRNA from 1 species
CCUACGGGAGGCAGCAGUGGGGGAUAUUGCACAAUGGGGGGAACCCUGAUGCAGCGACGCCGCGUGGGUGAAGGAGUGCUUCGGCAUGUAAAGCCCUAUCGGCAGGGAAGAAGCAAGACGGUACCUGACUAAGAAGCCCCGGCUAACUACGUUCAAGCAGCCGCGGUAAUACGUAGGGGGCGAGCGUUAUCCGGAUACACUGGGUGGAAAGGGAGCGUAGACGGCCAUGCAAGCCAGGGGGGAAAGCCCGGGGCCCACCCCCGGGCCUGCCCUUGGAACUGUGCGGCUAGAGUGCGGGAGGGGCAGGCGGAAUGCCUGGUGUAGCGGUGAAAUGCGGAGAUAUAAGGAGGAACACCGGCGGCGAAGGCGGCCUGCUGGACCGCGACUGACGUUGAGGCUCGAAAGCGUGGGGAGCGAACAGGAUUAGAUACCCUAGUAGUC